rnacentral:lncRNA from 1 species
AAGGUCUUAGUAAACCUGCUGCGUAAGUGGACAUUUUUUGGAGAGAAUCGGUUCUUUACACAAGUGGUGCCAUUUAGUACAUAGCUCAAGGAAUCCUUUCCUUGAUUUCUCAACAAAUGCCCACUCUCACUAUUGUCUGUAUUUUUAAAAGCCAUUCAGUAUAAGAUCCAUGUGGUAUAUAUGUGUGUGUCCCUUUUGCUAUCCUUUAUUUUUUUUUCUUCAAUUUGAUGGAGAAGAUACCUCUGAGACUAAAGACUUAGUCGCAUACUCAGGCAUGUGUCUUCAAAACAUUGUCAGCAGUGGGCCUCACUUGGGGAUGAUUUUUUUGCCAGAGGAUAUGUGGCAGUGUCUAGAGAUUUCCAGUUGUUACGACUGGGAAGGUGGCACUGGCAUGUUGUUGGUAGAGGUCAGGGGCGCUGCUAACAUUCUGCAGCACCCAGGACAGCCCCCAGCCCCUCCCAGAGCAAAUAAUUUUCCAGCCCAACUGAGGUUGGGAAACCCAGUCCCACUGGCCUUCUAGAAUCUAUUUAAUUUCUAAGCAUCGCUCUCCAGAAUGAAGUAAUGGAAUGACAUGUUUUGUUUAAUGAUUAAGAAAUAGCUUACUGGCUGGUCUUUUGAGUUGCUUUGGAUAAAAUAGAAGAAAUUGAUACUACAGAUGCAUGGUCAAGGCUUCUGAACACUAACUCAAGAAGAGGCCAAUGUCCACAUGGUUUUAUGUAUACACACACACACACACACACACACACACACACACACACACACAUAUACAUAGAAAUAUAUUGAGGUUUAUUAGAAUGUGAAAUUCUUUCCUUUGGGAGGUGUGAUGGAAGCUUCAUUGCCAAAACCAUUUAAAACAAGCCCCGGAGUAUAAACUUCAUAUAACAAUAUUUGUCCAGCAAGGGGACAAACUAACUUAAUAGUCCUUUUCUGUCUUUAAUAUCUUGCGUGUUUCUGAUCACUUCUGAUGGUGCCAUUUCACCCUUUGCUUUAAUAUAGCUCAGUGUCAUCCAGAAAAUGCUUUGAGAUGUCAGGCUAGGCCCGUGUGAACAGCCAAAUGUCAAAAGAAAAUGCAUCAGUGUCUCUCUAAAUUCAUGGUGAUGACAUUACCAUAUGAAAAAAAUGGAAAGGGAAAUUCUGUCAGUGCAAACAAGACCGUAAAUGCAACAUACAUGACAUUAAAGAAAGGGGCCAGAGCACAUCCUAACAGACAGUUUGGAGGAGAGGAGAACUUCAUUUUGGUAAAUUCUACCAAAGUGGAAAUUAUGAGUCCAUCCCCCCUGGUUAUGAAAAUCCAUUAUACGAAUGUGGUUUUUAGAUUCUCAGGCACUUUGGGAGAUCGUAUAUAUUUGUCUUUCAAAGACUAUUCAUUAAAAUAUAUCUCAGCAAAAUGCACAUACCCACACAUAUGUUCCUGAUGGUUACCAGGAAAGGGCCAUGAGAAACAAUUGCCCCAAACUUCUCCAGCCAAGGAAGCAUAUAAUUUGUAGACAGUGGAAACUUUAGGGUGGCAAAAUGGGGUCUAAUGAGUAUUUUGGAUGAUUUGAGUGAUUUUUAGAACAUUCGAAUGGAACUUCCAGAGCUGAAACAAUUCACUUUUAAUUAAUUUAAAACUAUGAGUACUUUGGUAAUUGUGUGGACUUUGAAAAAUGUUAAUUUAUUGCAUUCACAUCCCGUUAACCUUAUUGAGACGGUUAAAGGCUGCCCUUUGCCACUGUAUUUUCUCUCUCACGUACAGGGGGAAUCAGCCAGCAGCCUCUCUUCAUUAGCUAUGUACACUUUUAAAACUGUUUUACUAGCAAAAGAAGUUGGGAAUGAAAAGGGAGAGAGAGUGGAAAUGUAAAAAUCUUGAUUAGAAAGUAUAAUUUAAUAGAACAUGUAUUGAACCAAAUGUAUUGAUUAAUGUAGAAGAUAUAGUACUUAUAUUGAUUCAAACCAGAGAUUUAGUACUAAAAGCUCUAAGCCAAAAAGCUGUUGCAGAUUGCUACAAAAGUCAGUUUAAUGCUGUCCUUGAGAAAGCCUUCACAAAGAAAUUCUUCUAAUGUUUGAGGACUAGGUAGAAUGCGGUAUAUGUCAGUUUGAUCCCGGAGGGUUUUAUUUUGUACUCUAAUAGCUGUUACGAGCCUACAUUAUAUCCAAGGAGUAAUUUUCCUUAGGGGUGCCCGGCUCGCUUUGUGUCAAUAUUCUAGCAUUUUAAGUCACGUACAGUAUAUGCUUCUGGGAACAGGGAAGGAGCCAGCCAGACUCAUAAUGGUCUGCAUUCAUUAAUAAAGGCAGAAGCUUCUGUCCCUCCAUUGCCCACUACAGGGAUGCCUCUUUGGCCUUCAGGGACCCGUACAGACACAUUUAAAGAAAGCUUUAUUUUGAGUGGGCAGGAGAUGAAAUGUAGGACUCGCAGGCAUUUCCUAAGUCAGCUAUAUGCCCGAGCACAGGGGUGACCUUAAUGGGUCAAAGAAGAAUGCAGGUCAAAAGACUUAUUAUCCAGCCUGUUGGAAACCAAUUGCUUUUGU